UACCCAACCAAGAACAGAGCAAAACAUACCCACAAACAUGAGACCUCUUAAUCUCGCUAUCUCCCUCUCUCAAUCUCGCUAUCUCCCUCAUCUCCCUCUCUCAAUCUAAAGCUAUUUCCACACAUAUACUCUCAUUCUUCCUCUCAAUCUCGCAAAUACUCUCAUUCUCCCUCUCAAUCUCGCGAUCUGCCUCAUUCUCCGUCGCCGCCUCGCCCUCAGUCUCCCUCGCGCGCUGUUGCUCAUGCUCUCGGUCUCCCUCUCACAAGGGAAUAACUGUAGAACAACCCAUGUGAAGAAGAGAGGACCUAAAUAAGAAGCAAAAUCCACGUUGGGAUCCUGGUUUUUUUCUGGGUGCAUGCCUUUGACAAACUCAAAUAACAUUUGUGUCCCAGGCCCUCACUGAGAACGAAGGUAGGCAUUGGAUGCCUGUCAACAAGCAUUACGACAUUUCAGCAACUAGGAUAGUUUGUCAUUUGAUGCAAACAUUAAAAUAUAUAUUAAUGACACAAAAAAAUGUUCAUGUACUUUGUUGGGACUCUUAGUUGUUGGCUAAUUCCAUGACAAAUUGCAGUGUAAAUUUUCAUGUAUCCCAGUGGGGUUUAAUUUGUAUUGGGUUUAUGAGGUGAAGUGCUGCAAAAUUUCACUUGUAUGAAGUUGGUAUUGUUAGGCAAAAAGAGAUAUAAAAACAGAAUUUGAAAAUCAGUUGAA